rnacentral:rRNA from 1 species
CGUCUAUAUACGUAUAGCAUAUCAAUAAGCGGAGGAAAAGAAACUAACAAGGAUUCCCUUAGUAACGGCGAGUGAAGCGGGAAGAGCUCAAAUUUGAAAUCUUCAAGGUUCUACCUUGACGAAUUGUAGUUUAAAGAAGUGUUUUCUGUUAGAGUUUGAGUAGCAAAAGUUCCUUGGAAUAGGGACAUCAUAGAGGGUGAGAAUCCCGUAUUUGACCAUUAUUUUCUAGCUUUGUGAUUACACUUUCAAAGAGUCGGAUUGUUUGGGAAUGCAGUCCAAAAUGGGUGGUAAAUUUCAUCUAAAGCUAAAUAUUGGCGAGAGACCGAUAGCGAACAAGUACCGUGAGGGAAAGAUGAAAAGAACUUUGAAAAGAGAGUUAAACAGUACGUGAAAUUGUCAAAAGGGAAGCGUUUGACACCAGUGUUGUUUUUCCGAAAAUCAAUUAAGAGUGGCUUGAUUUUGUGUUGUAUUGACCUUAUCAGCUUUCUUCACUCUUUUUCGAGUCUUUCUUAAUGCACUUUUCGGUUAACAAGUCAACAUCAAUUUCUUUUGUUGUAAAAGGGUAUUUGGAAGGUGGCUUUCUUUUCGGAGAAAGUGUUUAUAGCCUUAUACCUCUACAAUCGGAGAGAUUGAGGUCUGCAGCGUAGAUCCUUCGGGGCUAGAUACACUUGUGCUAAGUUAUAGCUUUUCAUAGACAACUUGUUGACUAUGUUUAGUCACGUAGCUUACUCGCUUGUGCUAUUUUACCUACGCUUAGGAUGUUGAGUCAUCACACAUCUCU